rnacentral:lncRNA from 1 species
AAGAAAGAAGGAAGUGUUUUAACAUACCUGUAUGAUCUCUUCAUUAUUCUUCAACCAAGCUCAACACAACUUCUUGCGUCUAUAACAAUUUAAAUGAUAUUGUCGUCAACAUAUAAUGUCGUACCAUUGUAUUUGGCUAGUCGUAUAGCUUACGAAAAAUUGGGUAGUAACUCCCCUGUUUUUACUACAUCCAAAAACCACUAAGGUUCAUCAAUAGCCCAACAAUAAUAACAAUAACCAACAAUAGCAACAACAACAAUAUAAUCCAAUAUGAGUUUCUCCGAUUACCUUAACAAUCAUAUUGAGCGGCAAGCUCGUUUUUACUAAUAACAAAAUAUAAAUUGAAUCCAACUCUUUUUACAUAAAUUAGUUUACAAUCUUCAGAACCUUAUACUUAUAUGUACUAUAUUAUUCCUAGUUCAAAACAUACACGUAAUGCCUUCCAAAACAGCCCCAUAUGCCUAUCACCUUAACUUUUAUCGUCAAUCACUUGGUUUUCAUCUUUUCUUCUUCAAUCAACUUAAUUAACACCUAGAAAAUCUUAAAAACAGAAGCCACAUGAUUAUCAAAUUAUUUCUCAUAAUUUACAGCCACCACAAACCAUAUAUUUAGCCACAAAACCGUCCAACCAAAAAGAUAACGAUAUUCCAUGUUCUUUCAAGUGCUAUCUUAUGGUAUUUCACUCAAACAACACAACCAACACAUGAUUAACAUUAGGCAAAAUUAAGGAGAUAUUAUACAUACCUUUGAAAGCAGCUCCCACUCGAAACCCCAUAUCAACUUAGCUCACAAUAGCCCUCAAUCACACCACAACAUCAUAAAAGUAUUCUCUUGUAGUCUUUAACACGUUUGAUGAUGAUUUGAGUUGAUUCCCCUUGAGUUUGGUUCUUGGGAUCUUGAGAUAACAUA